rnacentral:rRNA from 1 species
UCCACACUGGGACUGAGACACGGCCCAGACUCCUACGGGAGGCAGCAGUAGGGAAUCUUCCGCAAUGGACGAAAGUCUGACGGAGCAACGCCGCGUGAGUGAUGAAGGUUUUCGGAUCGUAAAGCUCUGUUGUUAGGGAAGAACAAGUGCGAGAGUAACUGCUCGCACCUUGACGGUACCUAACCAGAAAGCCACGGCUAACUACGUGCCAGCAGCCGCGGUAAUA